rnacentral:rRNA from 1 species
ACGCUGGCGGCAGGCCUAACACAUGCAAGUCGAGCGGAUGAAGGGAGCUUGCUUCCUGAUUCAGCGGCGGACGGGUGAGUAAUGCCUAGGAAUCUGCCUGGUAGUGGGGGACAACGUCUCGAAAGGGACGCUAAUACCGCAUACGUCCUACGGGAGAAAGUGGGGGAUCUUCGGACCUCACGCUAUCAGAUGAGCCUAGGUCGGAUUAGCUAGUUGGUGAGGUAAUGGCUCACCAAGGCGACGAUCCGUAACUGGUCUGAGAGGAUGAUCGGUCACACUGGAACUGAGACACGGUCCAGACUCCUACGGUAGGCAGCAGUGGGGAAUAUUGGACAAUGGGCGAAAGCCUGAUCCAGCCAUGCCGCGUGUGUGAAGAAGGUCUUCGGAUUGUAAAGCACUUUAAGUUGGGAGGAAGGGCAUUAACCUAAUACGUUAGUGUUUUGACGUUACCGACAGAAUAAGCACCGGCUAACUCUGUGCCAGCAGCCGCGGUAAUACAGAGGGUGCAAGCGUUAAUCGGAAUUACUGGGCGUAAAGCGCGCGUAGGUGGUUUGUUAAGUUGGAUGUGAAAUCCCCGGGCUCAACCUGGGAACUGCAUCCAAAACUGGCAAGCUAGAGUAGGGCAGAGGGUGGUGGAAUUUCCUGUGUAGCGGUGAAAUGCGUAGAUAUAGGAAGGAACACCAGUGGCGAAGGCGACCACCUGGGCUCAUACUGACACUGAGGUGCGAAAGCGUGGGGAGCAAAC